UGCCAGCAGCCGCGGUAAUACGAGGGGUGCAAGUGUUGUUCGGAAUCACUGGGCGUAAAGGGAGCGUAGGCGGAAAUAUAAGUCAGAUGUUUAAUCUUGGGGCCCAACCUCAUGUUUGCGUUUGAAACUAUAUUUCUUGAAUAAGGUAGAGGUAAAUAGAAUUCCAGGUGUAGCGGUGGAAUGCGUAGAUAUCUGGAGGAAUACCAGUUGCGAAGGCGAUUUACUGGACCAUUAUUGACGCUGAGGCUCGAAAGCGUGGGGAGCGAACAGGAUUAGAUA
rnacentral:rRNA from 1 species